GACGAACCGUGCGAACGUUAUUCGGAAUCACUGGGCUUAAAGCGCGUGUAGGCGGAUGGGCACGUCGGUAGUUGAAAGCCCCCGGCUCAACCGGGGAAGUGGUGCCGAAACGACCCGUCUGGAGGGACGUAGGGGGACCUGGAACUUCCGGUGGAGCGGUGAAAUGCGUUGAGAUCGGAAGGAACGCCCGUGGCGAAAGCGAGGUCCUGGACGUCUACUGACGCUGAGACGCGAAAGCUAGGGGAGCAAACAGG
rnacentral:rRNA from 1 species